GUCCCCGUAGCUCAGCCCGGAUAGAGCACCGGCCUCCGGAGCCGGGUGCACAGGUUCAAAUCCUGUCGGGGACACCA
rnacentral:tRNA from 1 species